rnacentral:lncRNA from 1 species
UUUUUAAAUUUUGUGACACACUUCGAAUCGGACCACGCGCUACUGAAGAAUUUCGCCUGACAAACAGUAUGAUCCGCUCAUAUGUACAGGUCAUGCUCUCUCGCGCCAAUUUCGUGCAUACCUCGGGAGUCACCUAAUGGGGGUUGACGUAUCAUGCUACCGAGAGAGUAUUGGCCGGUUUUUAUGUGCUGCGCAUACUGUCAAGAAGGGAAAGAGAUUAUCGUUUCUUGAUAUAAUCUGCAUUUCACUUUUCGCAAAGUACGGUAUCCGUAUGUUACCAGUUACUAUACUGUUACAUUUUGUAUUUCACCAAG